rnacentral:tRNA from 1 species
GCAUUGGUGGUUCGGUGCUUUCCACCCAGGAGACCUGGGUUCAAUUCCCAGCCAAUGCA